GAGAUUGGCCCCUCACUCAUUCAAAAUCGUUGAGAGAUUGGCCCCUCUUCAUGUGCUGUUUUAGUCUCAACAUAUUUCCGCUUGCUGCCUUUAUAGUAGAAAGGUUGGCACAACAAAAGUGUAUUUCUGAACCAGUUGUUGUUCUACUUCAUGUAAUCAUCACGACUGUUGAAUUCUCCUAUCCAGUUUUAGUGAUACUCAGGUCAGU